UCAGAUGACAUUCUUAUCAGUUCAUCAUAGGAAUAGAUGAGAUGCAGAAUCUGAUACCUUAAGGACAACGGUUCUUGUUUACAGGCUGAUGACCCCUCUGACUUCUACCUGAUCUGUUCUAAUCAAAUCCAAGUGGCUGCUGGGACCAAUGCCAAUUCUGUCUCAGUGUGAUACAGUUUUCUUUGGAGACCUGAGUUCAUUAAGUGAGCAGUUUCUUUGUUUGGACUUCCUGCCAUGAUGUUCUGCUUUUAUACAGGAGAGUCGAGUGAGCAUGUUUGGUGACUUUGGACACUGAAAACCAGAAUACAUAUUUCAUUUUAUUCAGAAUAUUAGAAUUUCUGGUAUUCUGUAACAGUGAAAAUAACACAUCAGGCUUUGUGAUCAAGGAAAGUUCUAAAGAAGCCAUAGACAAAGGGACAAGAUGGAGUAUGGCUCCUGUCUGGGGAUUCUGGGGCCCCUGAAGUACAUUUACAGAGAUGGAGUAGAAACAUUAGGAGUAUAAGAAACAUCAAAGAAGAACAACUAAGAACAUUUCUUGGUUAAAAAUAUUGAGAUGGGAGAGUGGUCCCAUCCCUUGACUGGAGGCCAUGUCUAUCUACUGGAGGAGGGCUCUACAGGUUCUAUUUCCCCUUCUCU